rnacentral:rRNA from 1 species
UAGGGAAUCUUCCGCAAUGGACGCCAGUCUGACGGAGCAACGCCGCGUGAGUGAAGAAGGAUUUCGGUUCGUAAAACUCUGUUGUUAGAGAAGAACAGCGCAUAGAGUAACUGUUAUGCGUGUGACGGUAUCUAACCAGAAAGCCACGGCUAACUACGUGCCAGCAGCCGCGGUAAUACGUAGGUAGCAAGCGUUGUCCGGAUUUAUUGGGCGUAAAGCGAGCGCAGGCGGUCAAUUAAGUCUGAUGUGAAAGCCCCCGGCUCAACCGGGGAGGGGGAUUGGAAACUGGUUGACUUGAGUGCAGAAGAGGAGAGUGGAAUUCCAUGUGUAGCGGUGAAAUGCGUAGAUAUAUGGAGGAACACCAGUGGCGAAGGCGACUCUCUGGUCUGUAACUGACGCUGAGGCUCGAAAGCGUGGGUAGCAAACAGG